UUGGUAUUAUACAGGUGAGAGUCCACAGAAGGAGAAAGAAAACAAAUCAUAUGCAUGUUGAUCGUUCAGAAUUACUUAAGUUGUUAAGAAGCUUAAAAGGGUAAAAGAAUAAUGGGGUUCGGAAUCCAUUUUCCGUGGCCUAGAAAAGGAAAAGAAUAACAAAGAAAUUCUUGACUUGAGAAUACGUCCAUUGCUUUGGGUUUGAGUUAAGAUUCUGAAAUUCCAUUCCCCAGAAUCUGACUUUUAUCCUGAACCCCAAGUCCUUUUCCCCAUAAGGAAUAUCAUUCCGUGGUCAUUGAUUUCCUUUUAUUUUAAGCCAGUGUCUUCACCCUGGGGUCAACAAGCAGGCACCAAUUCGAGCUGUGCGUCUUUACUAAUCAUGCACAGUGGCAGAGAUACCCUUGUACGAGAGCGUUAUCCGACACCGCUUCAUCGAAAAAAAUUCAAACACAUAAUUAUAUAUUAUAGAUCAACAUUAAUUUGGGACAAUGAAUAAAUUCUUUGAAGAUCUACAACUCCAAAUCCUAACUCAAAUAUAAGCUGAGUUGAUAAUAAGUCAGGCAUUGCUCACACAAAAUUCUGCGUACACUACACUACAGAUCAGGCAUUGACGAACUCUCCCACCAUUGCCUCCCUAAGAUGAUUCGAAAUGCUCUAUUUCUUUAUUUUUAUUUUUUUAAUGUGAGAUUCAUCUUGUACUUUAAAGUAAAAUUAACUAAAUCUAAGAGCUUUAAAAAGGAAAUGCAAGUACAAGAAAGAACAACAGCACAUGUUCUCUUCUUUAAAGUGGAGAAUAUAUCAUGAAAAUAGAAUAAAGAAAGCAACAAAAGAGACGAGGAAGAAGAUAGAUUGGAAUAGCAAAGGCAAAGGGUUCUUCUGCAUGUCUUACAAAACAGAGGAACAGCAGUCAUUGCUUUAUGGCAACAUCACGGAAAAGCAAAUUAAGUACUUUUAAUGUACCAUUACUAGAAAAGAUUAUUUGGGUUAUUCAGAGAGGCAUAAAAUGAAUGCUAUUGCAUGUUUAUACUUCUUCUGUUCCAAUUUUAUAUAUUUUUAAAAAUAAAAAAAUUUAGAAUGCUUUGAAAUGUUUGUCAUCCUUCCAUUUCUAUAAAACUCACAGCUUUCAAAAAUUCAUAUAUAUAAAGUUACUCCAUUUUAAUGUUCUUUUCUUUUUUUUGCAUUUUUUUAAAAUCAAACUAGCUUAUCAACUUGUAACUUUUAGUAUUGAUUCCAUCAUCACUAACAUCAUACAUAUAAGUUAAACUAAUAUCUUAAAUUUCAUCCUCAGCCAACUACCUUUCUGUAAAAUAAAAAGAUGAAAUAUUAUUCAUAGUUUGAUAUAGAAACAUAAAGCAACUACUAGAUCUUGCACAUCAUCAAUUAGAAAAUCUACUUUACCAUAACAGAAGGGAAACUGAGAAUGACAAAAGAAAGACAAACAAUUGUUAAAGACAGUUUGAUCAGAUGAACAACACUAUAACAAGACAGUUAGGUCAGAUAAAUACUAUAACAAGAAGUCUCGGGUUCAAACCUUGUGAACGAAGAAAUUUCCGGUAGGGAGCACUUCUCCCUUAAAUGGGUCUCUGCUACGCACAUUUGGAUUAGAUGAGCUAAUGGGUUCCGGAUAUCAUAUGGUUGAACCUAACAAAAAAAAAAUUUAACUCCAUAAAUCUAUUGAUUUUAGUACAAUAUAAUAGUCCAAUGCAACUCAUACAGCUAACAAUGCACAUCCUCAUUUCAUUCCUAUCCACGUGCCAGCAAAACAGUAUAAGGGAACUCUGCUUUAUACCUAUACCACUUUACCUAAAGGUUGUAAUAUAUUCCUCCAAAGCGCAUAAAAUACCCUAAGAUAUCAGAAUCAGUUGAUCUUUUUCUUGAAAGUUCAACUGACAACUGAUGUGCAUACCUUGUUCAGAGAUGAGGAAUUUUCACUUAUUUCAUAUCAAGAUGGAAAAUAAUUAAACUUAGAUAACAAACAGUCUUACAAACCCCUGAAAUUUAUCCAAAAGAUAUAUUUUUGAUACCAAGAGUCAUUUCCUAACUAUGCAAUCGUGAUUUGUUGAACUUGCUGACCAAUACAAAAAUACAGCAGUUUAGAUGUAUCAUUGCAAUGUUAACAAGGAAAAGGUGCAAAAGAUACUAAGCAUUUCAUAAACAACUAAGUUUAAAUUCCCUAGUUUUCCCUCCACAGAAAAAUGCAAAAAAAAAAAGGAAAAAAAAGGAAGAAACAAAUGAGCACAAAUCUAUGGUGUUUUAGUUUUUAUAAGUGAACUAGAAAUUGAAUUAGCAAGGCGAUAAAUAGAGAUCUCAAGUUUGUGUCACAAUAAACUAUGACAGAAAACUGACAGGUAUCUAUACAUGUUUAUUAAAAAUAAACGGGCACAAAAGAAUGUAAAGUAACUAUUUAUAUUCUCUAGAGCAAAUUAAGGCUCAAGUCAAGGGAAAGGCAAGUAGUCAUCUUCGAGCAAAUGAGUUGACAUGUUUUCCAUCAGGCGACUACGGAAGCAAGUAAUAUCACUUUAUUUCUCCUUUCAAAGGGGUCCCAAUGCCUUGGAGAUGGCUGUCUUACACCAAUUAAAGAAUAGGAAAUAUCUAACGUACUGGAGGUCUCCCUCUAUUUUAGUUCUAUAUAUCCAGGCCGAAUAAGUACCAAACUUACUGAAGGAGACAAAAAGGUAUUUGUUCCUUAUUCCAAUAUUCCUGGCCUUCAAACAAAGCCAAGGAGAAGCAUCUCUCCACAAUUUUUUUACCUUUUUAUCGUAUUCCUUUUUAGUUACUCAAACAUGAUAUAUUAAAAUAGCAUAGACUGAAAAUAAUGCUCAAGAUAUUCCAAAAGUUCAUAUCACUAAAUACAGGAACAGGAGCAAGAUAUUGCAUGAAAGUCUCAUCUAAAAUCAUUAAAUUCUUUUUACCCAAGGCAGAGUAUAGCCAAUAUAAUAGAAUAAAACAUGCAUAUAGGAAAUGCUGCCUCAACAAAUUCUUAACAUGGCCAUAGUAAACUAACAGAGGUUUAUAGAAAGAAAUGUAUUAGUCUUUUUAUUUUGACAUGAAAUAAUUGAAGCAUCUCUCAACCAUUUCCCUAUCUCUUUGCUUUGUUUUUUUUAUCCAAUACAAAGUACUUGAAGCUCUGGUCAACAGAAUCUUCCAUUUGAAAGGGAAAAUGGUUUUGAAGUUUUCAAGAGGUCAUACAUCAUUCAAUAGUGGAUACUUUCAGUCUAUAUCAGAAAAAAAUUCCAAAUUUAAUUCUGGGAAUAUGGUUCCCAAACUUUGCCAGAUAAAGAAUAUGAGAACAUAAAAGUCUCUGGUGGAUAAAUUCUUGUACCCAUUGUAAGGUGUGAAGUGUUUCAAGCAAGUUAUAGUGCAGCGGAAUAUCAUGCUAGGGCCCACAGAUAUGUAAAACUGGAAAGAUGAGAUCUCUUUUUGAGCCGGCUGUGAAGAUUCGAUUGGUUCUAGCGUUCAACUGGCCCUGUCCAAGAUUCUAUGCUUCACCUAGACUCCCUCUCUCUUUCUCACCCCAUUCGCUUAUAAGAGCUCUUUGGAUACAUCUUUGGUCUGUGAAGUUGUACAACAAAGGAGAUAGAUAAGAGCAGUAGUGCAGUUUGAACUGAGUAUCAGAAGCAGAAUUGUUCUCUGAAGAAUAAUACAGAAGAAUCAUGAUUUGCAUCUAAAGGGUAAGACUAGACUGAAACCAAGUACAGCAGAUCACUUUCAGGUACGUUAUAAUUAGUUGAAUUACUUAUAUCGUGCCUAUUAACUCGCACCACGAGACUUAAUUGCUAAUCAUCAUACAGAAGGCCAGAAGAUGUACCAUCAUCACCACCAGGAUAAGAGCAUGCACCCUUCAACAAGAAUGUCUAUCUCUGAAAGGCAUCUGUUCCUGCAAGGUGGAAACGGCAACGGGGAUUCAGGGCUUGUCCUGUCAACUGAUGCCAAGCCAAGAUUGAAAUGGACACCAGACCUCCAUGAGAGGUUUAUAGAAGCCGUUAAUCAACUUGGUGGAGCAGACAGUAAGUGCACACAAAUAUACCAAUUUCAAGACGCACCAGGAAGAUGUUAUUUCGUGAAGAUAAUUAACUGCACUAUUCUUCUAUUGCAGAAGCCACGCCAAAAUCAGUUCUAAAGCUUAUGGGGAUCCAAGGAUUAACCUUGUACCACUUAAAGAGCCAUCUUCAGGUUCGUUCUUAUUUGCUUUAUGGCAUUACAAAAUCCAUGCAUAAACAAGACAUUCUAUGAGGGACAUAUUCGGCGUUGAAGUUUAGCUACCAAGGCAAUAGUUCCAAACAAAACAACUGGUGGUAAGAGGGGAAAAGCAUCUUUUGCAUCAACUGCAAAGAAUUUUCAAAUUGUUUCAUUUAAGCAGCUGCCAUAUAUGUACUUUUAUAGUGUGAAGGAAAACUGAUCAAAACUUUGUACCUGGGCUGGCAAAAAUGCAGAGAAAUAUAGCCCUUUGUUUUUCUUUACAUCCAUAAGACUGAAGAAUAUUUCUGACAAUUUUUUGAUACUUUUAGAUUGGCCAGAAACUAACGCUUUACAAAAAUGCUGGCAGAAAUACAGACUAAGUAAGAAUCUCCAUGGACAAGCAAAUGCUAGUGGGGCCAAUAAAGUUGGUAAGAAAUCAAAUACAUACCCAAGAAAAUAGUUCACAAAACUUCGUUUACGGAGAGAUAACAUCCGAAAACUUACUGACUUUGUGGAAUGGUUACAGCAGCAGG
rnacentral:lncRNA from 1 species